CCUUUGUACACACCGCCCGUCGCUACUACCGAUUGAAUGGCUUAAUGAGACCUUGGGAUUGGCGCCUGGGAGCCGGCAACGGCACUCGGAUGCUGAGAACUUGUUCAAAUUUGGUCAUUUAGAGG
rnacentral:rRNA from 1 species